rnacentral:rRNA from 1 species
GACGAAGGGGGCUAGCGUUGUUCGGAAUUACUGGGCGUAAAGCGAGUGUAGGUGGUUGUCCAAGUUGGAUGUGAAAGCCUUGAGCUCAACUCAAGAAAUGCAUUCAGGACUGGGCGACUAGAGGACCGGAGAGGAUAGUGGAAUUCCCAGUGUAGUGGUGAAAUACGUAGAGAUUGGGAAGAACACCAAUGGCGAAGGCAGCUCUCUGGGACGGUACUGACGCUGAGACGCGGAAAGCGUGGGGAGCGAACAGG